AACGUAGGAGGCAAGCGUUAUCCGGAUUUACUGGGCGUAAAGGGUGUGCAGGCUGCCCCUCAAGUGGUGUAUGAAAGGGCUCGGCUCAACCGGGCUAGGUUAUGCCAGACUGAGGGGCUAGAGAGCGAGAGCGGGACGUGGAAUUCCGGGUGUAGUGGUGAAAUGCGUAGAGAUCCGGAGGAACCCCAGAGGCGAAAGCGACACCCUAGCGUUAGCCUGACGCUCAUGUGCGAAAGCGUGGGGAGCGAACGGG
rnacentral:rRNA from 1 species